rnacentral:snRNA from 1 species
UACUACUACCACUACUACUACUAUUACUCCGAAGGGAACCCUCAGAGAAGAUUAGCAUGGCCCCUGUGCAAGGAUGACACAUACAAAUCGAGAAGUGUACCAAGGGUGA